rnacentral:rRNA from 1 species
GACGGGGCCCGCACAAGCGGUGGAGCACGUGGUUUAAUUCGAUGCUAACCGAAGAACCUUACCUAGGCUUGACAUCCUAAGGAUAUUUUAGAGAUAAAGUAGUGCCGUUCUUUGAACGGAACUUAGAGACAGGUGCUGCAUGGCUGGUCGUCAGCUCGUGCCGUGAGGUGUUGGGUUAAGUCCCGCAACGAGCGCAACCCCUAUUUUUAGUUGCCAUCAGGUUAAGCUGGGCACUCUAAAGAGACUGCCGUCGAUAAGGCGGAGGAAGGUGGGGACGACGUCAAGUCAUCAUGGCCCUUACGGCCUGGGCUACACACGUGCUACAAUGGUCGGUACAAAGGGUUGCCAAGCCGCGAGGUGGAGCUAAUCCCAUAAAACCGAUCGUAGUCCGGAUCGCAGUCUGCAACUCGACUGCGUGAAGUCGGAAUCGCUAGUAAUCGUGAAUCAGAAUGUCACGGUGAAUACGUUCCCGGGCCUU